rnacentral:snRNA from 1 species
GUGCGCACUUCGGCGGCACAUGUCCUAAAAUUGGAACGAUACAGAGAAGAUGAGUGCAGCCCCUGCACGAGAUGACAAGCAAAUUCGUGAAGCGUUCCAUAUUUUU